rnacentral:tRNA from 1 species
GUCUUUGUAGUAUAACUAUUACCCUGGUCUUGUAAACCAAAAAUGGAGAAUACCAUAACUCUCCCUAAGAC